rnacentral:rRNA from 1 species
AUGAACAUUUGGUACCUCAUAUAUCUUCACUCAUGCCACACUAAUUCACUAGUAGUGCAUACUGCACAUAGUUCACUCAAGUUUCUAAUCCACUCAGGUUGUCGUAAUCUUCCCUGCUUGAUAUUUUGUUUCUCAAGGAAACACAAAAGUUAUGUGUCUCGAUGCAUUGAUGGAAGAAGAGAGUUUAUAUAUAUUCCUUGGACUAGGCCACAACACACGCACGCUGCUGCAGUACAAGGUGGAUUAACCUCUGUAAAGAUGAAGAAUAAUGCUACCACACCCGCAGAAACACAGUUCCUGCCCUCAGAUUUUAUCUUGUUUAUUAAGUCUCCCAAGUCUUGUUUGCACCAUCGAAGAUCAUACCUAGGAUAUGACCUCAUGCCAGCUUCGGCUAGCAAACAAGCAUUCCACAAGCAGGUCCCAUAG